GCCGCCUUAGCUCAGUUGGUAGAGCAACUCUUUUGUAAAGAGAAGGUCCCCAGUUCAAAUCUGGGAGGCGGCUCCA
rnacentral:tRNA from 4 species